rnacentral:lncRNA from 1 species
AAAAACUGAAAAGCUGCUUCUUAUAAUCCUGUUCACACUACUGACUCGCUCCAUACAAAUCUUAAACAAUCAAUCUCCAUGGGCCGGGUGUCGAGAACUGCACAAUUUCCUUCUCUAUCAACUAUCAAAUAGCUCUAUCAGGCAAGUAUCCAAUUCACUUAUUCUUCUCGCGCUUUUUGUUUUUGUUGGGUUGAUUCAUGCGUUUCUUUCUUUCAACGCUAAUAAUUCAAUUUUAUAUUAGCAUUGUCUCUGAAAUAAUGAAUUUCAAACCAUUUUAGAACUGCUAAAUUGAUUUUUUAUACUAAUAUUGAGUGAGGACUGAGGAUGAAUGUGUAGUACUAUGAUGUCUUAAAUCUAAAGAUUCUUAAGGUUUCUUCACUUAGUUAUACUCUGAUAAAUUCUUGUGUUGGUUUUAUGAAAAUCGAAAAUCUAAAUGUUAAACAAAUUGUUCGAACCAAAACCUUCAAUCCCUGAUUCCUUUUAGGACUUUAUUCGCCAGACUUUGAGAACGUCAUCAAAGCAUCGAUAACUAUUGUAGUAUUAGUUUUAUCGCCUUCUCUUGGGGGUCUCUUGCUUAUACUUAUUGUAUGAGAAAGACUACUGAGGUUGAGAAAAAUAUAUUAUCCAUCAGUGAGGCUAAGGUCCCGUAAAGUUAUUAUUGCAAGUUGCCAAAUAUUAUUGGCUUGAAUUUUAUUUGAACUUGCUCUUUUUUACUUCCUAAAUUAUUGAGUCUGAAUUGAGUCGGUUGACCUAUAAUUUUUCAAAUUCUUACAUUCUGGUUUCAAAAAGAAUACUAGACAGACCGAGUUGUGAUUUUCUGUGAAAAUUCUUUCUCUUUUCUUUUAAUUUUAGUCUUGGCAGAAGUUGUUACUUUUUGCUCUUUAUUGUGGAGGCACUAUAAUAGUUCUGGUCUGAUCCUGAUAUAGGUUGUAUGUUUCAGUUAGGUCUGCUCGUGGUUUAUUUGAUCGAAGUUGUGGUUGUUGUUGCAGUUACAUGGAGGAAUGUGUUAGAGCGCAAAGCACCUGAAAUCACUCUUGCCAAAAUAGCGCAAAAGGAACAUACUAUUCGGAAUAGGACCAUGAGAAAUUUGAGUUGGUGAGUUUUUCAGUUGAAGAUAGAAGCAGAAGAUGAGCGAGAGUUUGUUUUAAGAUUUUCAUUUGUUAUCACGGUGGUUCUUUUGAUGGAUAGAAGAAGCAGUCUGAUCUGAAUACAAUCCAAAGGUAAGUAUCCGUUAACCUUACAUGGUCAUAUCAUGAAUGGAGUGUCAUAUGCUCUAUUGCGUUUCAUGGGGCAACUAUGUUGAGCGGAUGAUAUUUUUUGAGUUUAACAUUAUUUUAGCAGCAUGAUGCUCACAGUUACUUUAUAAAUUGUUCAUAUUAUAAAUGGUUAUGUUCAAGUUGCUGGAUUCUUAUGACAUAUCAAAUGAAUCUGUAUCUUGUAGUUUAAUUUUCUGCUUUCAUUUGCUUAUCUAAUGGGGAUAGGGCAUUGUUUUGGAUAGCGUGCGGCGACAAAUAGACGAGGGCCCGCUUCACUGAGGCGAGAGGCCCGCAACGAAGCGCUCGCCUUUUUGAUGUGAAGCGACAAUUUAUACAAAAAUAUAAAAUAUUAUAUACAUAUAACUAAAAAUUCAAUAACAAUAAUAUAUUAAUAAAUAUAUUAUUCUAAAAUUAAAGACUCAAUAGAUAGUCAUAGACUCAUAAUAGAUUCAUAAAUUAAAGUGUAAUAGUCUAAACUCUAAAACAAGCAACAUCUAUUCUUCUUCAAGAUUUUCAAAUUCUACAACUUCAUGAAUGUUAGCAUUAUAUUGGUUGUUAUCUUCUUCAUCCUCGGACUCUUCAUCAAUUAGGGAGGACCGGCUUGAACUUGCUACUUCCUUUCCCUUGUAACUUGAAGAACUCCCUCUAAGACCAUAGAUAUUCUCCUCAACUCCAACCGCUAUAGAAACAGUACUUCAAUCAAGAUCAUCUCCUUCAUACACUUGUUCAUCUUCAUGAUUUUGGGGGGCUCCUAUUAACCGUUCAUUUGCCUUGUCAAUAUUGUCCAACAAAAUUGGAUUAAUGGUAUCGCGACCUUCAUAACGUCGCCUCAAUGUUCUAUUGUAUUUAAUAUACACUAGAUCAUUGAAACGCGAUAGCUCAAGCCUAUUCCUUUUCUUGGAGUGAAUUUGCGAAUAAAUUAUUUAGAUUAAUUAAUAGAUACUAACAAUAAUACAAUAUAGAAUAUAUUAAUAUAAUAAAUCUACUUCUUACAUACUCAAAUACGCUCCAAUUUCUCUCGCAUCUAGAUGCACUGCAAGUUAGGCUUAGUACUUUGAUGGCAAACUUUUGCAAGUUUGGAGUUUGAUGUUCAAAUUGCUUCCACCAUUCAACUAUAGAAAAAUAUUUUAAAAGUUAAUAAGUAUAAAUCAAAUAAAUUAAAUUAAACUUAUAAGGAUAUCUAUAUUAAAGUUAGUUACCUGGCGACCUUAUGUCUUUGGCUCUAAUAGCAGCCGGUAAACCAAAUAGUCCCUCUGCUUGUGAGUACCUACCAAACUCCUCCCCUAUUUGAUCUAUCGUCGCUGAAUUGGUACCAACUUCUUAAGACAUGCAUGGUAUCCAAUCCACACCUCUGAAGCCAAAGUUUCAUCUCUGGUAUUCUUGUAAAAUUAUCCCGGGUUCAGAAGAUGGCCUGCUAUAUGCAAAGGUCGAUGGAGUUGAUUGUCCGACCUGGUAUCAAUUAUCUCAAAAACUUUCUCAUAUUUCCUAACAUCUCCCUCAAAUGACGCUGCAAUACUCUCUUUGGCUCUAUCCAUAGCUUCAUAAAGAUAGCCCAUUGGUGGUUUUCUCUCCCCAUCCACCAUACGAAACACCCUAAUCAAAGGACCACCAACUUUAAGAGCCCGAAGGAUGUCAUUCCAAAAUGAUGGAGAAAUAAGAACUUUGGCAGUUUCUUUCCCUGCAGCUUCCUUUGCAUAUUUAUUAUCUUUCCAUUCAUUCGAAAAAACUAGCUUUCUCAAAUUUUUCUUUUUCAAGUAAAAACUCCGCAAAGUUAAGAAAGCCGUUGCAAAUCUAGUCUUCACCGGUCUCACCAAAUUUCUUUCAUUUGUAAAUUUUCUCAUCAAAUUCAACAACAACGACCUCUGACUAAUGUAAGAAUAUACCUUGACGGCCUUAGUGAAAACUGUAAAAGUAACAAUAAAAUUUUUAUAGUUAAUACUUAAAAGGAUAAGACAUAAGUAUAAAUAAAGUUAAAGGCUUUAAAAUAACUAUAUUAAAGUUACCUAAGGCAUAUGAGUUUUCCUUGAAUAUGUCACCAAACAUCAAGUUGAUACAAUGGGCAGCACAUGGAGUCCAAUAAAUGUUUGGAUACAUAGCUUCCAUCAUCUCCCCCGCACUAACAUUUUCACUAGCAUUAUUUGUAACAACUUGUACAACAUUUUUCUUUCCAAUUUUAUCAAUAGUCUUUCUAAAUGAGCUGUACAUUUUGCUUCCAUCCGUAGAAGAGUUGCUAGCAUCGUGAGAUUCAAGAAAACACUCCCUCUUGGAGAGUUCACCUACACAUUUAUGAUCAUUUUUCCAUUCUGUGUUGUCCAUUUAUCCAUCAUAAUGGAACAUCCAAACUUGUUCCAUUCCACUUUAUGAUCCUCAAUAAUUUGGUCUAUCUUCUUCACCUCCUUUUUAAGAUGAGUUACUCUAACUUCAUGAUAGCUAGGAAGCUUCAUUCCUGGUCCAUAUUCUUAUGACCCAAAACUCAUCCCGUCGUGAUGACACCUAUCGUGGAACUAGGCCAGCCUCAACUCAACGCAACCCAAGACCUCAAUACUAAAACUAAAUCAUUUGCGGAAAAACUUUUAUCAUUUUAAAUAAAUUGUUUAAGACGUAGAAUAAAGAUCAUAUUACGAUACAACCAUCCCAAAACCAGGGUGUCACAAAGUACAUGAGCGUCUGGGGUGAAUUCAUAGUCUAUGAAGGUGUCUAAAGAGGCAACUGUAAUACAACUGGAAAAUGAGAAGGAGAGCCAAGGCAUGCGAACGCCAUGCAGGUACCUCAACAAACUCCACACCUUGAAACCUCAAUCAACGAUUGCCACUGGGGCCAAAAGUACCUAGAUCUGCAAACACGGUGCAGGGGGUAACGUGAGUACACCAACUCAGUAAGUAACAAGUCCAACCUUUAAACUGAUAGGUAGUGACGAACUCAACCUCCUCAAGGAUAACAGAAAUAAUGUACAGAAACGUAGGCAUGCUUUCAGUUAAAUAAACAACUCGAACAGUAAAACAGAGCAAGUAUGAACAAGGUAAAGAAGUGUCACUCUGCUACAUCUACAUGUCGAUGCACAUGCUAUAUGAAAUGUACCAUGCUGAGUGCCUCAUGUGCCCACAGUCUCAAUUACUCAUCCACUCAGUACUGUAUAUGACUCAUACGGCCCAGGGAAGAUCUAUCCCGGAAUAUAUACAUCUCUGACAACAGUCACUCAGUACUGAGGAAGGCUAAUCUAUCCUAUGGAGAAGAUCCAUCUCCAGAUAAUAAUAAUAAUAAUAACAACCUCACAACCACUCGGUACUGUAUAUGACUCAUAAGGCCCAGGGAAGAUCCAUCCCGGAAUAUAUACACAUCACUGACCAUUUCUCCAGUAUCGAGGAACAGGCCAAUCCAGCCUCAUGGAGAAGAUACAUCUCCAUACCAAGGGAAGAUCCAUCCUUGAAUAUAAUCAACUGCGCUCACUGGGGGUGUAUAGACUCCGGAGGGGCUCCUUUCAGCCCAAGCGCUAUAGCAAGCCAGCGAAGGCAUAAUCAAUAAUCUACUACGGCGUGCAACCCGAUCCCAUAACUAUCACUUAUAAUCAGGCUCUUGGCCUCACUUAGUCACCACUCUCCUGUUUCUCCCACGGGCUCACAAUGCCAAGAAAAACUAGCCCGGAACAAUGAUAUGAUGUGCAAAUGAAUAACAGCUAAGACUAGAAUGUGAUAUGAUAUGCAUAAAAAAGGCUGAGUACAGAAUAUCAAUGAAACUAAUGAGAUGACAACAAGAAACGACCACUCGGGUCUCAACAGUAUUGGCAUGAGGCCCUAACAUGAUAUUUAGCAUGAUUUAUAGUUCAUUUCCCUAAUCAUAUAAUCACUGACACAUAUAUCAAUAAGAAAGAGUCACUAAGCGGUGCCAUGGAAUGAUCCAAGCCGCAAUUCUUACGGUGCACGCCCACUCGCCCCUCACCCGGCACUUGCAUCACCUCAAUACAAAUUAUAUAGCACAAUGUUCGGGGUUUCGAACCCUUAAAACCAAGUUUGGAAGCGUUACUUACCUCAAACCAAGCCAAAACUCUAACUCGUGAUGCCCUUGCCUCUCGAUUCGGUCUCCAAAUGUGCCAAAACUAACCAAAAUCAGUAUAUUAUCAUCAAUACACGCUAAAGGAGUGAAACCCAUAUGAAAAUUAUCAAAUUAGAUCAAAAUUCCAGAAUUUUCUCAAACCCGGCCCCCGGUCCCACAUCUCGGAAUCCGAUAAAAAUCACAAAACUAGAAAGUCCAUUCACUCACGAGUCUACCCAUAUCAAAUUCACCAAAAUCCAAUGUCAAAUGGCCAUCCAAAUCCCUAAAUUAACUCUCCAAUUCACCUCCACUUUUUCCCCAAAUUUUCACCCGAAAUUCCCAAUUUAGAUGUUUAAAAUCAAGACACAAUCGGAAUUUAAUCAAAAUUAAGUGAAGAACACUUAGCGCAAUCAUUUCUCUGAAUACCCCUUCAAAAAAAUCAACUUCUACCGAGCUCCCACUUUCAUUUUAUGUUAUGAAUUCGGAACCCUCGUUUGAAUCUUUUAAAUUUUCCCAGAUACAUAUCCAUCGCAAUCGCGGAAGUACCACCGCGAUCGCGAAGAGGAAGAAAAAAAUGCCUCUUAAGGACCCUAAGUGAUUGCAUAAUACCCUUUGCGAUCACGUUAAGCACCACCGACUGAACUACGCGUUCGCAGAACUGACCUCAUGAACGCAAGAGAUAACCAUGCUGCCUCAGCUCAGACCCAACACUACGUGAUCACAUGCUCACCAAUGCGAACACGAUUCUUCAUCUGCCACACCCUAUGCGAACAUAGACCCAUGUUCGCAAAUGCGAAGAAGAAAUAAGAAGCCUCAGACCUUUCCCUUACGUGACCGCGUCCUUCUCUCCACGAUCCCGAAGAAGGACCUUCUGCAACAGAAAUACCAGCAAAAUUGCCAACUUUUCUAGUCGAAAUAUGUUCUGUUGAUCAUCCGAAAUACACCCGAGGUCCUCGGGACCUCAACCAAAUAUGCCAAUACAUCCCAUAACAUCAUUCAAGCUUAGUCGAGCCUUCGAAUCACUCAAAACAACACCAAAACAUUUAAUCAACCUCAGAUUCAAGCCUAAGAACUUACAAUUUCUCAAAUUCCACAAACGACGCCGAAACCUAUCAAAUCACCUCCGAAUGAUAUGAAAUUUUGCACACACAUCACAAAUGACUAUGAACCUACUCCAACUUCCAAAAUUCUAUUUCGACCCCGAUAUAAAAAUUUCCACUGCCGACUGAGAAACACCUAAUUUCUAAUUUCACCAAUUCAAACCUAAUUCUACCACAGACCUCCAAAUCACAUUCCAGACACGCCCCUAAGUCCAAAAUCACCUAACGGAGUUAACCAAAUCAUAAAAACUUAAAUCCGAGAUCGAAUACUAAAAAGUCAAAACUUGGUCAAACCUUUCAAAUUUAGAGCUUCAAGCUGAGAAUGUUUCUUCCAUGUCUGUUCUGAUUAACCUGAAAACCAAAAUCGAUGAUUUACAUAAGUCAUAAUAUAUCAUACGGGGUUAGACAUGCCCGAGAACUGGCGAGGAAAGUGCAAAUGCUCAAAACGACCGGUCGGGUCGUUACACGUAUUGUCCUAUGACCUCAAUAAAUUUAUCAAAAGUUUUGUAGUUGACACAGUUGAAAGGAAGUCGUGCAUCGUACAUCCAUGCUGCAAAGGCACUUACGGCGCGAUCCUUCAAAAUCUUCUUGGCUUCUAAACCUGAACCUUCUUCACCUUUUCCCUUUUCUUGUUGUUUUGCCGAGAAAUAAAGAUUGAGAGGACCUUUUGUCACUAUACGUGCCGUGGAUGGUGCACUAGAACCAGAAUAUAUCUUAUGAGUUUUAGGGGGGAGGUCCCAUUUCACCUUCUUCAUCCAUUUCAUUAUCUUCAUCAAUUAGAUUCAUCGAUGCUUCAAAAUUCAUUUGAGUUCUUGCCAUAUUUUUCUUUUCAACAAAUGCUUUUACUUCCUCCCUAAUCUCGGGCGGACAAAGGGGACAUUGUAUUACAUUUUUAAAUUCACCUAUCAAAUGUUGCUUGUGACGAGUUAUCCCACCAUGAUAUAUUUUUUCACAAAACACAUAUUUAAUUGCGGAUCUUGAUAAGUCUUGUAUAGCUUAAUUCCAAGCUAUAUCAUUUCGUUUAGUACUAUCGGAUGACGCUAUUUCAACGUUUUUUUAUAGAAACAAAUUAUCAAGUCAAUAUGCAAUUAAUUCUACUCUAUAAGACUAUAAGUUAAUAAUUGAAAAAAAGGUAAACAAAAAUAACUAAGUUUUUUUAAGUGAAGCAGCAGUGAGCCGCCUCUGUUAUUUUGCCAAAAUAGGGCCUCGAAACAACCUCUAUAUUUUGCCAAAACAGAGAAAAAAAUUAAGAGAAGAAGAAAGAGGAAGUGAAGAACCUCUGUAUUUUGCUCGAAUAUUAGAGCAUAAAAACAGACCUCUGUUUCUGCUCUUUUUGUCAAAAAAUAGAGGAAAAAAGAAAAAGGUAGAAGAAGAAAAAGAGAAUAAGAAGGAGAAAGAAAAAUGGAGAAAGAAGAAAGAAGAAAGAAGAAGAAGCAUACCUGGUCUUUCAAGAAGAAGAAACCGUGUUGAAGCUUGAAGAAGAUGAAGCCAACGAUGAAGAAGAAGAAACAAUGUUGUUUUGUUCGCAGGUGAAAAGCCCUAAUCGCUGAAACCUCUAUUUUUUUGUUUGCAAGUGAAAAGCUCGAAGACCAAAUGUCAAACCCUAAUUCCCGACUUAAGCUUCUCCCUUUCUCUUUUUUUUUUAAAAAAUAGCGACGUUACAGUCGUUUCUCACAACAAUGUUGCCUCGCGCAACAUAGAGAGAGGCAACCCCUAUUUUGAAUCGUAACACAACAGGUACUCUGAAGCGACACACCCUCGCCUCGCGUCGCUGCACGCUUUUAGCGCUGUAGCGAGUGCUAUUUAUAACACUGGGAUAGGGAGAUGUUAUACUUUUCAUUGUAAGUUAUUUUUCAAACUACAUUCUUUAGGCACCUCCCUGUUGCAACUUUAGAGAUGAAGCUGUUAAUGAUAAUAAAAGCAUGAUUGGAAAAACUAUAGAUCAUCAUGGAAGACAUGUUAGAAAUAGAUGCACAUUCAAUUUCAAGACAUUGAUAAUAGCCGCUUGGUAGAUCAUUUGCCCUUUGGCAUAGGAUCUUCAUCAAAUAUUUUAUCUACUGGACCUUAUAGUUCUUCCUACCUAUCGAUAAUUCAAUGCAGAUACUUUAGUUUCAGAGUUCAAAAUAUUAACAUGAGUUUGAUACAAUGAAGAUCGCUAUGAGACUCGGUAUUUGAAUUGUUGGUAAUUUAAUUUGUCAAGCUUUCGACAAAACUAUUUAUUUAUUAGUUCAAUGAGGUUGUGGUUGACUUGCUAUUGCACUGAGAAGAAAAUAGAGAGGAACUCAGAAGCACAGCUUGAGAAUAAGAAGAUUGAAAUGCCUGCUGAAGUAAAGCAGAAUGCUGAAUUACCACCUGAAGAUUGAUCAUAUUAUAGGGUGAUGAGUUAAUGACAACAUCACUUAUCCAAUUCAUAAAGAACCUGAACGUGAGUUUCUUACAACACAAGUUAGUUGCAUAACGGGGAAAUAAACAAGUCUCCAUGUACCAAAACUAGAGAACACAACCUAGAAACUAUUCAAGCCUGAGGAUCAUUUUUUAAUUCUUGAUUAUUCAAUCUUAACUUCUCUUUCUUUUUUGUUUGUCUAAUCUUCUGAACAAUCACUUUUGUGAGAUCUUUUCUUUUCUCUUUAUCUUUGUUAAUAUUGAAUAAUUCUUGCCUUAUUGUUUUGUUUCGUCUCAUUUUUUUAGUUAGUUCAACAUUAUAUAUGUAUAUAUGUAUGUAUCUGCGCAUGUAUAGGCUACUUGGAUUGAUUUUUCUAUGAAAGGUGGAGCUAGAUUUAAUGGGAGUAGGGGGAUUUGCAUCUAGACCCGUUUUUUGGGUCACGUUUUAAAUUAUAUCCGCUUUGCAAAAACAAUUACAAGCGUACCUACUUUUUGCAUAACUUCAGGCAUACGGGCUUGAAGUAUGCAUAACUUUAGGCAUACAGACUUGCAUUUGUGCAGGUCUGAGGGAGGUCCCCUUGAUGAGGGAAAAUCCGCAUGGUGAAGCGGGUACCUCAGAACCCGACGAAGGGAAGAAAAGACAAAGGUAAUCGUCGAAUGAGCCUUUGGAAUCCAAGAAGACCAAAGUGGAAGAACCUAAGGCUGAACUAGCAGCCUUAACUCCAUAAGUAGCGGGGAGUCCCUGAGCUGAAGGCGAGUGGGAAAAUGAUUUCUCGAUAGCAUCCGAGGGAGGGGAAAACCCGAUCGACCAUUAUACCGCAGAGACGAUGGCUCCCAAGUUAGAGUUUAGUACCGUCGUUGUCCAACCUCAGGCUGAAAAGGCCACCUAGGAGGUAUUGAGUAAUGUCCCUAAGCCGGCUGAUGACCAAAAUAUUCCUCGAGCUAAGACAAUAUGGUAGGCGGUUCGGAGGAACCCAAUUCUAAAGCCCGGUAGGGAUAAGAGACAGCCCUGAAUGAUCCUGUUGGUGUUUCUCCUCUGGGAACGACCUUACAUCCUAUGGAAAUGCAAAAUGCCUAGAAUGAAGAAUCUUCCGAUGUGGGGGUGCCCAUCGGAGGUAGAGAUGAGUUUGAAAGGCCUUUAGCCGCACCUGAGAAAAUUCCCAAGCUUGAUGCCUCACUCAUUUUCAGUAAGAUAAACAGGCUUUGUGAGCAGGUAGUUUUUGUACUUUCUGCUCGUCGUCCUGAUCUUCGUUCUUCUAACUUGUCUCUUUCAUGGCUCCAAGCAAAGGUUAUUUAUAAUCAGACCUUCGCCCGGUUUCAAGCUGAGAUGACUCGUCACGAGCAUGAGAAGACUCAUCUUGUUGAACAAGUUACCUAGUUUCCAUUUGCUUUUGUCUAAAUGUUUGCCAGAUCUCAGCGUUUUUACACCUUUGAUUUGAUCUGUGCAGUUUGAGAAGAAAGAUGCACUACUGAGGGAGGAGCUCCGAGCCAGAGACUCCGAAAUUCUCGAACUCAACUGGCACGUGAGAGAGAUAACUUCGGAGAGGGAUACCCUCCAGGGAAAGAUAGCCUUAGUUGGGCACCAACUUCAUGAUGCGAGGACGGAUAGUGACAAGUAUAGAGGUCUUCAUACUGAAUUAGUUGUUGCGAUCUCCAGGAUCAAAAUUGAAGCUGAGGCGCUUAUAUCCUUGCACAAAGAGGAUGCCAUUGUAAUAAAUGCUCAAGCCCGAAGAGUGCCCGAGGGGGCCGAACUGAAAUUGACUCGAGUCGUGGAGCAUGCUCGGUUAGAAUCUCGGAGGCGGACUCUCUAGGAUAUACAUGUGGGGGCAUUGAUCUGUCUGUCGUGCUUGAGAGGGUGAAGACCUUAGAGAAGAAGUUUACUGCCCUGUUUGUUCUAGAGGUAUGUCAAAUAGUGGCUUAGGAGAUGAUGAGAAUGAAGGCAGAAUCUCCAAAGGGAAAGAUGCCAUUAAAGGUCCUAGAGCCGUGGUAGGAACCGUUGGGACACAACCUCCGAUGGAGCCAUCGAAGAUGCAGACCCAAUGGUAGAUUAGGGUGUUGUUUGACUUCUUCCUUGUAGGGGCUUUUAAAUGCCUUGUAAAUGUACCUUUGUGAUCAAUAUAUAGAAGGCUUUUCAUUUUUAUCACUUCUUUUUUCCUUUGACUUUCAGGAAUAAUGUGUGAUGUUUUUUGAUAAUCAGCCCGAGAUCUUAGACCUUGGGUUUUUUCUAUUGCUGAGCAAUUCAUUACGAUCAAAGAUCGAACAUUCGGGGCCUAGUCCCCGUGUUGGGACCUCGGUGGGGGUUUACCGAGUCGUAGGUCUAGAAAUUAGUCCUAGCUGCGACCUUUAAUUUUAGGCUAGAGACAGUGGAUCUUACACGUUGGGUCAGUACGACCUUUGAUUUUAGGCUGGCGACAGUGGCUCUUACGUGUUGGGUCGGUGUGACCUUUGAUUUUAGGCUAGCGACAGUGGCUCUUACACGUUGUGUCGGUGCGACCUUUGAUUUUAGGCUGGCGACAGUGGCUCUUACGUGUUUGCCCUUAGGUUUUUUUAGUUAACCGUUUUGGUCUCGGUCUCCGAGUUGGGUUUCGACUCGAGCUCAUUGGCCCUUAAGUUUUUGACUUUAAAGCUUGCCCUUAGGCUCUUAUGUGUUAGGUCGGUACGACCUUCAUAUGGGCUAGCGAUAGUGGCUCUUACGCAUUGGGUCGGUAUGACCUCUUUAGGAUUUGUUUUCCCUCAUCAAAGUUUUUGAAAUUUUUGUGUUCGCCCGACUCUUCGAUGGCUUUCUAAGAGCCUCGAUUGUGAGUCGUUAUGUAGCGACGAAUGAGCACCUCGGGAGGUUUUGCUCUGUGGCUGAAUAUUUCGAAGCCUAUAGUUUUGAGCUGACAUGGUCGAAACUCUUUUGCCUAUGUCAAGGGAAGCCUAUUUAACCGGUUCUUUUCAAAGUACUUUCAAAGUAUUUGAAGGCUUGUGAUUUUACAGCGAUGGUCGGACGUCCCCGAGUCGCGUUAGUUUGGCUGGUACAGCCUUGUGACCGUAGUCUUUGACCGGAGCCUUUCAGUCCCCGAGUGAAGUAGUUUUAGCAUCUAUAUCAAGGGUAUGCCUUUUUAGGGGCAUUACAAGUUCGAAUAUAUAGCCUUAACUUUAAGGUCGAGAUAAUGCCUUUUUGUAAGGUCUUAUAAUUUUUACAUGCCUUUGAGGUAUUACAGUUUUGGUUACUUGGUACAAGAAUGGUUCAUGCCUUGCUUAAGGUCUUACAGUUUUGGUGUUUCCUUAUAGAGGUCUUAUGGGGUCGAGGUUUCCCAUAUGGGGUCUUAUGGCCUCUGCAGUCCCCGGGACAUUGAAAGUUUUGUUGGCCCUCGAGCCGUUUUUAUAGACUUGACGUUGCCUCAUUGAGAGCUUACGAGUUUGAAGCUUCCGACCUGGGGGGUCAUACAAUUUUGAGUUUUUAACGCCAGUCCCCGAGUGUUCGGGGCAUUCUUGGCUUCUGGAGCCAUUUUUGUAACCAUGACGUUGCCUCAUUAAGGGCUUACAAGUUUGAAGCUUCAGACCCGAAGGUCAGGCGACUUUGAGUUUUUGACAUCAGUGCCCUAGUAUUCGAGACGUUUUUGGCUCUGGAGCCAUUUUUAUAAGAAAUACCGAACUCCUUCGAAAUGCUUUGAUGGAAGGGAAAGUAUUCUUUGAUUACUUGGUACAAGUAUAAACAUUUUUGUUGUCAAGGGCUCAGUUAUUUUAUGCGGACACGGUUCGUUCGACCGUUUAGCUCGGUACAUUGUUUUCUUAUCGAGACCCCAUUUAGCACAUCUUGGCUUUUUCGAGGAGGUGACCUUCCGGCGGGAUUCCCUCCCCCCCAGUAUUCGAGGUUGAUUGAAGAGAAGCCUUGAAUAAUUGUUGAGUCUUCCUUAGGUAGCAUAUGGAUAUUGCCUCGUUAAAAACCUUGCCAGUAAAACCCUUCUAGGGAUAAAAUCCGAUCGAAGGAAAAGAUUACAAUGCACACUUUUAAGAACCCAAGGUCCUCGAGCCCGAGGGUGUUUCAGAGACUUCCAUCAGACACCUUAGCAGUAGUAUCGUUUGAGCAUUGAUAUGUUCCAAUUGCUUGGAAGUUGUUCGCCUUCCAUGGUACCGAGCUUGUAGGACCCUUUGCCGAUCACUCUGAGGACGCGGUACGGUCUUUCCCAGUUUUCGCCUUACUUUCCUUCAUUAGAGUUUCGGGUGUUGAGGGUGACUUUCCUUAGGACCAAGUCCCCGACCCCGAGAUGUCGGAGAUUUGUUCUCCUGUUAUAAUACCUUUCGAUCAUUUGUUUUUGGGCGGCCAUUCGGACCAGUGAAGCUUCUUGCUUUUCAUCCAAUAGUUCGAGGGCCGUAGUCAUGGCCUCGUUGUUCGAGCUCUCGGUGGUGUGUUAGAAUUUGGCGCUUAGCUCUCCAACCUCCAUUGGUAUCAAAGCCUCGACACCAUAUACUAGAGAGAAAGGUGUUUCUCCUGUGCUUGAUUUUGGAGUUGUUCGGUAUGCCCAUAGCACUUUGGGAAAUACUUCUCUCCAUUUUCCCUUAGCGCUUUCCAAAUUCUUUUUUAAGUUUUGAAUGAUGGUUUUGUUUGUAUACUCAGCCUGACCGUUUGCAUAUGAGUGGUAGGGUGUCGACAGGAUUCUCGAGGAACUGUGUUACUUUGCUUCCGAUGAACUGCUUCCCGUUAUCGCACGUUAUCUUAGAAGGAAUCCUAAAUCGGCACAUAAUGUGGUCCCAGAUGAAGUUAAUGACUUUUUUUUCUCUUAUCUUUUCGAAGGCCUGCGCUUCUACCCAUUUUGAGAAAUAGUCAGUCAUAAAAUAAAAUAAAUCUAACUUUAUUUGGUGCCGUUGGUAGAGGUACGACGAUGUCCAUCCCCCAUUUCAUGAAUGACCACGGUUAUAAGACCGAAUGUAGUUGUUCGCCGGGUUGGCGAAUCAUAGGGGCAAAUCUCUGGCAUUUGUUGCACUUUUGGACGAAUUCUUUGGUGUCAUUUUCCAUGUUAUCCCAAUAGUGGCCUACCCUGAUCACCUUUCGGACUAAGGAAUCGGAGCCAGAAUGGUUUCUGCAGGUUCCCACGUGGAUUUAUCAGAGUACAUAAUUUGUGUCUCCCGUCCCUAGACAUACUGCUAGGGGGCCAUCGAAGGUUCUUCUGUACAAAGUCCUGUUUUCGUUGAGCGAGAAUCGGGCUGCUUUGGUUUGCAAGGCCCUCGAUUCUUUUGGAUCCUGGGUAGUUUCCCAUUUUUCAAAUAGUCAAUAUAUUUCGUUCUACAAUCCCAUGUCAGGCUAGUAGAGUUGAUCUCGGCAUGACCUUCCUCGAUCACUGAUUUGGAUAGCUGAACAAUAGCCCCGAGGAGUAGGUCAUCUUCUUCGACAAACGAUCCCAGGUUUGCGAGAGCAUCAACCUCGCUAUUCUGCUCUCGAGGUAUGUGGACCAGAGUCUUUUCUUUGAAACAGUGUAAUGUGACUUGAAUUUUGUCCAAGUAUCUUUGCAUCCUGUCUUCUCGGACCUCGAAGCUCCCAUUUACCUGAUUUACUACUAGGAGCAAAUCACAUCUUGCUUCGAUGAUUUCAUCUCCUAAGCCUUUGGCCAAUUCCAAACCUGCAAUCAUAGCCUCAUAUUCAGCUUCGUUGUUAGACAAUCUUAUAGUUUUUAUGGAUUGCCUGAUUAUGCCGCCCGUAGGCGGCUUCAGAAAUACACCGAGCCCAGAUCCUCUCAUGUUCGAGGCACCGUCGGUGAACAAGGUCCACACCUCGGAAGAUGCGCCCAUUUUUAGUAAAAGUUCCUUUUCUAUCUCGGGCACGAGGGAGGGCGAGAAGUCGGCCACGAAGUCUGCCAGAUUUUGGGACUUGAUAGCCGCUCAGGGUUGAUACUCGAUAUCGUACCCCCCCCCCCCCCGAGUUUGAUGGCCCAUUUGGCCAAUCAGCCCGAUAAUUCGGGCUUAUGCAAUAUGGUUCGGAGAGGAUAUGUUGUUAAAACACAAAUACGAUGGCAUUGAAAAUAUGGUUUCAAUUUUUGUGAUGCACUUAUUAAUGCAAGAGCUAAUUUUUCUAGGUACGGAUACCUGAUUUCGGCAUCUCCCAGGGUCCGACUUACAUAAUAAACAGGGAAUUGCGUACCUUGCUCUUCUCGANNNNNNNNNNNNNNNNNNNNNNNNNNNNNNNNNNNNNNNNNNNNNNNNNNNNNNNNNNNNNNNNNNNNNNNNNNNNNNNNNNNNNNNNNNNNNNNNNNNNNNNNNNNNNNNNNNNNNNNNNNNNNNNNNNNNNNNNNNNNNNNNNNNNNNNNNNNNNNNNNNNNNNNNNNNNNNNNNNNNNNNNNNNNNNNNNNNNNNNNNNNNNNNNNNNNNNNNNNNNNNNNNNNNNNNNNNNNNNNNNNNNNNNNNNNNNNNNNNNNNNNNNNNNNNNNNNNNNNNNNNNNNNNNNNNNNNNNNNNNNNNNNNNNNNNNNNNNNNNNNNNNNNNNNNNNNNNNNNNNNNNNNNNNNNNNNNNNNNNNNNNNNNNNNNNNNNNNNNNNNNNNNNNNNNNNNNNNNNNNNNNNNNNNNNNNNNNNNNNNNNNNNNNNNNNNNNNNNNNNNNNNNNNNNNNNNNNNNNNNNNNNNNNNNNNNNNNNNNNNNNNNNNNNNNNNNNNNNNNNNNNNNNNNNNNNNNNNNNNNNNNNNNNNNNNNNNNNNNNNNNNNNNNNNNNNNNNNNNNNNNNNNNNNNNNNNNNNNNNNNNNNNNNNNNNNNNNNNNNNNNNNNNNNNNNNNNNNNNNNNNNNNNNNNNNNNNNNNNNNNNNNNNNNNNNNNNNNNNNNNNNNNNNNNNNNNNNNNNNNNNNNNNNNNNNNNNNNNNNNNNNNNNNNNNNNNNNNNNNNNNNNNNNNNNNNNNNNNNNNNNNNNNNNNNNNNNNNNNNNNNNNNNNNNNNNNNNNNNNNNNNNNNNNNNNNNNNNNNNNNNNNNNNNNNNNNNNNNNNNNNNNNNNNNNNNNNNNNGUUUGAUGGCCCAUUUGGCCAAUCAGCCCGAUAAUUCGGGCUUAUGCAAUAUGGUUCGGAGAGGAUAUGUUGUUAAAACACAAAUACGAUGGCAUUGAAAAUAUGGUUUCAAUUUUUGUGAUGCACUUAUUAAUGCAAGAGCUAAUUUUUCUAGGUACGGAUACCUGAUUUCGGCAUCUCCCAGGGUCCGACUUACAUAAUAAACAGGGAAUUGCGUACCUUGCUCUUCUCGAACUAGCACACCGUUUACCGCUAUCUCGGAUACGACCAGGUAUAAAUACAGCAUUUCAUCCUCAUUCGGUGUGUGGAGUAAAUGUGGGCUAGUCAGAUAUCGCUCCAACUCCUCCAAUGCGUGUUGGCAUUUUGGAGUCCAUUCGAAGUUGUUUUUCUUUUUGAGUAAAGAGAAGAAAUUAUGACUCCUAUCUGAUAACCUUGAUAUGAAUCGACCCAAGGCUUCUAUCCAUCCUGUUAGCCGUGCAUUUAUCACCGUGAUUUCUUUGAUGGCCUUGAUGUUGUCGGGGUUGGUCUCGAUUCCCCUGUUUGACACCAUGAAGCCUAAAAAUCUGCCCGAACCCGCUCCGAAGGCACAUUUUUCGGGAUUGAGCUUCAUAUUGUUGCUUUUAAGGAUGUCGAAUGUCUUCUGCAAAUGAGUCAAAUGGUCCUCUACGCGCAAUGACUUAACUAGCAUGUCAUUAAUAUAAACUUCCAUGGAUUUAUCUAUUUGGUGCUUGAAUAUUUUAUUAACUAGGUGUUGGUACAUAGCUCCCGCAUUUUUUAGCCCGAAGGGCAUCACAUUGUAACAGUAUGUACCGUACUUCGUGAUGAAUAAAAUCUUUUCCCUAUCCCCGAGGUUCAUCUGAAUUUCAUUAUACCCCGAGUAGGCGUCGAGAAAAGUGAGGGUCUCGUGGCCGGCCUUGACAUUAAUCAAACGAUCGAUAUUAGGCAAUGGGAACGAAUCCUUGGGGCAUGCCUUCUUUAAGUCUUUAUAAUCUAUGCACAUUCUCAGAUUAUUUCCCUUUUUGGGAACUACCACCACAUUGGCCAGCUAUUCCGGAUACUUUACCUCCCUAAUAGACCCUAUUUUAAGGAGUUUUGUUACCUCGUCCUUGAUGAAUGUGUGUUUUACUUUGGACUGGGGUCUUAUUUUUUGCUUCACUGGUUUGAAUCUAGGGUCGACACUUAGUCGAUGGGUGGUUAUUUCCGGUGGGAUCCCUGUCAUAUCUAAGUGGGACCAAGCGAAACAAUUGAUGUUAUCAAUAAGAAAUUGAAUGAGUUUUUUCCUGAGUUCGAGGGUUAAUCCCGUUCCUAGGUAUACCUUCCAAUCUGGGAUAUGUUCAAUCAGAAUAGCUUGCUCCAGCUCUUCAAUUGUAGACUUCAUUGCAUCUGACUCUUUGGGGGCAACGAAGGUUCGGGGAGCGAGGAUAUCUUCUUCAUCACCCUCGGGGGUCUGUACACUUCCCGACUCUUCCGAGGUAGAGUAUGUAGGAUUUGACGCCUCCUAGUGGACCUUGAACAUUUCUUUUGUCGCAUGUUUUUGUAUACUAUUUUUAUAUCGUUCUUUGUUGGAAACUUCAUCAUUUGAUGUAGAGUCGACGGUACUGCCCUCAUAUUGUGUAUCCAUGGCCUGCCAAGAAAUGCGUUAUACUUUAUGUCACCACCGAUGACGUGGAAUUUGGUGUUCUGAACUAUACUGCACAUGUCGACCAGGAGGGUGAUCUCCCCUUUCGUUACUUCACCGGCCAUGUUGAAGCUGUUGAGGACCUGGGAGGUAAGUACGAUCUGGUCGAGCAACCCGAGCUGUUCUACUACCUUCGACCAGAUUACGUUGGCUGAGCUACCUGGAUCCACGAGUACACGUUUAAUUUGAAUGUUAUUAAAAGAAAUGAAAAUUACCAACGCAUCGUUAUGUGGUUGCGUCAAGGUCUCGAAAUCUUCCUCACUGAACGCAAGGAUGUCUUUAGUCAUGCAGCCCCGGAUCAGCCCUUCUGUUGCAGUGGACAUUUUUAUCCAUUUGAUCACGGGUCCUUGGGGAAUGUCGGUCCCCCCGAUGGUCAUAUGAACUACAUACUGAGGAAUUUCUUUUUUUUCCCGGGUGGAUUUUUUCGAGUUUCCCGCUGAAUUUUGUGGCAUGCGCUCCCGUUAAUGUAGGGACUGACGUUAACAUAUUGUGCGUUGCAUGAAGUUGUACCCUCGCAAAUUGGUUCUGGUGCACUCUCGGGGUUUUGCGGUGAUACACCCAUACCUCGAAUAGCCAUUUCGUCUUCCCCGUAGUCAUUAAGGCCGUUAUUUUUAGGUGCGUUUACUGAGUUAGACAUUUUGACCUGAAAUCAAAGAUCUUGGACAAGAAAAAGUGUGAAAGAUAACUUGCAUUAUGUAGUAAGCCAGCAAGAAAACAAUCACUAUUAUUUUUAGCCGCACGGUGGGCGCCAAACUAUUUACCGUGAAAAUGGUAAUAACAAUUAGAUUUGAUUUUGUGGUUCUAAAAAUACAUGAUCUAUUUUUAUGCUAGUUGUUAGGCAAUGGAUGCUAAGUGAAAGACUUGAAAACAAGAUAAUAGCUUGAAAACAAUGUGAUAAUCAAACCGAAUGGCUAAUAAUCGGGGCCUCGGGUUUGCGUAUUCUGGGCCUCGAGGUCGAGUCAGAUGCUCGAUUAAAGGCAGCCGAUAGAGGAUUAACAGUUAUGGUAAAUUUUAUGGCAGCUCUUUGUGGCCAAUAAUGAGCAAUAACUGAAGAACAAUAAAUAGAACACGAUGAAUACAAGCAAUAAAUGUAAAUAAUGGAGUCAGGAGAGAAUGUGUUAGAGAACAUAGAGAAUGUUUGUUUACCGUGAAAAUGGUAACAACAAUUAAAUUUGUAAAUGUGAUUAUAAAAAUACGUGAUCUAUUUUUAUGCUAGUUGUUAGAGCAGGUGAUGCUAAGAAUGUGGAGUUUAAUGAUGAAAUGCAAGCUAAAACGAGACAGUAAUCAAACCGAGGGGCCUGCUGCCCGGAUAUAGGACUGGUCAAUGGGGGACCUCGGGGUCGAUGUCAGGUCGAGCUCGAGCUAUCGGGGGCAGUCGGAAAUGGGAUAACAGUUAAGAUAUGAUUAAAUAAGGCUUUUUAUAUCUAAUACCAAGCGAUAAAAUGAAGAACAAAUAAGGCAGCGAUAAAUAUUACAGUGGCCUCGGGCCAGUGAAAACAAGUGAGUUAGAAAGAAGAUAUGGAGAGAGAUAUUAUUGCACUUUGUGGAGAAAAUGGAGCAACAUCAGCCUUUUACAAAGUGGCAUGGAUUCCCCUUAUAUAUGAGAGGGUUAACCAUAUAGUAUAAAGUGCAUUAAAUGUAAAUAUACGGGGAUGGGAUGGCUAGGCAUGGUACUAGUGUUUACUGAUUCUAGCUGCUCGCCUCGGGAAUACCACGUCCUUGGAACCUUCGUUGGGUCGCGGACAAAUUCCCUAUCCUCAGAAUCUUUGCUGGGUCGCGAACAAACCUUGAGGGAGGGAGCUCGAUCGUAAUCCUGCAGCCUCGAGAUGCUGAUAUGACUUCCUGAAUAUACCUUAAUGGCGAGAAAUAGACCCCCCUGAUUUCACCUCAUACAGAUAGUCUUCGCGUUUCCUAGAAUAAAGUAAUAAGAAAAGAUAUUGAACCGUCGCCUCGAGGUCAUUAUUUCCAUGACGUCAACCGUCUAAGAGCAUUAAAUGCCAAGCCCCAGAGAACCGUGCAAGGCUACCGUCAGAUACGGUAAUCGAGAAACCCACGAAUUGCCAUCGGCUCGUCCUUUCUACUUCCCCAACGAUUCCUAUAAAUGUACCGGUUGCUAGAUACUUCCUAUUUUCACCCCAUUUACAAGCCCGCGAGUCAGAAUUUUGUAUUUGACACUCUUUCUUCUUUUCACAGAAGGGUUUUUACCAUUUUACAUGGCCAGAACUUCUAGGACGGUUCCCCGACGGAACAAUAUUGCAUUGUCGUCCCGAUUACAUGAGGAAAAAGCUAGAUCAAUUCCAACUUUGGAACAAUGUACCCCACCCGAUCUCGACAAGUCAAUGGAUUUUGAUGUCGAGACUACCUUAUCUAUGUCGGGCAGGUGUGAGCACGUGUCCCGAUACGUUAGCGUUGUGACCGAUGUUAGCAAGGUGAGGGAGGACUGUCGAUGGAGCAAGGCAGUGGAGGUGGAGAUUCCCGGUCCCAACGAUAAUAUUACUAACUUCAAGGUUGGAUUCCUUUAUGUAUACACUUACCCAUUCACCCUGGGUCCUAAUAAAUCCGUCGAGUGUCCUCCCCUGGAAAUCGACCCGGUUAUUCUUGACUUCUGCGACCGAUACCAAGUGACACUUGGUAAGAUCUACCCUUCUGUACGCGGUGAAAUCAGAGAAUUUGAUUUCUCGCUCUCAAGUCAUUUUGCAAGAAGUGCUUCGAGACCCCGGAUGACAGGAAGCCACGACCGAGUUCCCGACCCCGGGGCUCGUCGAGGCCCGACUCAGAGAAAACGGAGAUCGAAGCCAGGAUAGAGGGAGAAGCUCCCAAGGCACACAGCUAAGUCUAACAAGGCCGGCCUAUCUAGAGCCUAUGCUGAGGCGUCACGUAAAGCCAUCCUAUCUCCAUACUUUGUAAUUAAUCUCCACGUAUUUGUAGCCGAGUUCCCCUCCUAUAUAAAGGGAACUCACACUACCUUGUAAUGGNNNNNNNNNNNNNNNNNNNNNNNNNUCCCGAGGUUACCUUGAUAUCCAUCGUUUCAUUGUUCUUCAUCAUAUAACUCAGUAUUGGCCAUAAAGAGCCUUGUUUAAUUAUAUCUUCAACUGUUAUCACAUCCCCGACUAUCUCUGAUAGCUCAAAUUCGACCCUAACGUUGACCCUGAGGUCCCCCAUCGACCAGACCUACACCCGGGUAGCAGGCCCCUCGGUUCGAUUACUAUCUCGUUUUAGCUUGCAUUUAAUCUUUAAACUCCUUAUUAUUAGCAUCAACUGCUCUAACAACUAGCUCGGGAAUAUAUCACGUAUUUUUAGAAUCCCAUAUACAAAUUUAAUUGUUGUUACCAUUUUCACGGUAAACAAUUUAGCGCCCACCGUGGGGCUAAAAAUAAUAGUGAUUAUUUUCUUGCUAGUUUCAUUCACACUUUUUCUUGUCCAAGAUCCUUUGAUUUCAGGUCAAAAUGUCUGGCUCGGUAAACGGAGUCGAGAACGACAACCUCGAAAAUCACGGGGAAAAUGGCGUGGAUGUCCCAGCCGCUGGAGCACCACUACAGAAUCCCGAUAAUGUGCCCAAACCGAUUCUAGCAGAAGCGGACUCACAGGACGCAUAGCAAGUCGACGAAACUUCUCACACCAACAGAAAGCUAAAAAAAAACCGGCCCAGGAAGAACAGGAAGUUAGUCUUCAUGUUAUUUUUGAUAUGUUGCAGGCACAACAAUUGGCCAUUGCUCAGUUGCAAAGCCAUCCGAGAACCCCCAGCACAGCGGCACCAGAGACAGCUCCCCCCGCCAAGUAAGUACCCGAAAGAUCAAGCAACAACGGGUCAGUGGCUGACCCCGCCAUAGUAAAGAUGCUUGAGGACCUCACCAAAAGGAUCGAAUCAGGUGAGAAAAUGAUUGCUGCCAACGAUAAAAGGGUUGAGAUCUACAACUCUAGGGUAGAUCAGAUUCCGGGAGCACCCCCGAUCCUAAAAGGUUUGGACUCGAAGAAGUUCAUACAGAGGCCAUUACCCGAGGAAGCGGCCUCAAAGCCCUUUCCUAAAAAAUUCAGAAUGCCGGAACUCCCUAAGUACAACGGUACUACCGACCCCAACGAACAUGUUACUGCCUAUACCUGCCCAGUAAAAGGUAACGAUAUAAAGAAUGACGAGAUCGAGUCCGUAUUGCUGAAGAAAUUCAGAGAAACGCUUUCGAAGGGGGCCAUGGUGUGGUAUCACAACUUGGCUCCCAACUCCAUAGAUUCAUUCGCCAUGUUAGCGAACUCCUUCGUAAGAGCGCACGCUGGCUCCAUCAAUGUAGCAACAAGGCAGUCCGACGUGUUCAAGAUUAAACAAAGGGAGAACAAAAUGCUGUGAGAAUUUGUGUCUCGCUUCCAGAUGGAAUGGGUGGAGCUGCCAAUAGUCUCCGAUGACUGGGCAGUGUAGGACUUCACCCAAGGCCUGAACGAACGAUGUUCGGUGGCCUCGAAGCAGCUAAAGCAGAACCUGAUUGAAUAUUCAGCCGUGAUCUGGUCGGACGUCCACAACCGGUACCAGUCAAAGAUUAGGGCCGAGGAUGACCAAUUAGGAGCCCCUUCGGGUUCAGUGUACCCAAACAGACUCCUGGUAAAAGAAUCGAAACCAAACAAACAAAGAUACCAGCCAUACCUCGAAGACAGAAGGAACGCCUCAAGGCACAACCUACCUCAAAACGAUCGGAGGAUAGAUCGAGGACAGGACCCUCGAGGGCUCAUCAACAGAACUAGGUUCGAUCGAAACAUAGCGCCAACAAGCGCGCCCCAUUUAUCGGAAUACAACUUCUACGUCGAUGUUUCAGAUAUCGUGUUCGCUAUCAGCAAGAUCAGAGACGCCAAGUGGCCCAAACCGAUACAGUCAGACCCUUUGCAGAGAAAUUACAACUUAGUGUGCGAGUUCCACAAUACGCACGGUCACAGGACCGAGGAUUGCCAUCAUAUAUGAGAGGAAGUGCCUCGACUGCUCAACAAAGGGCACCUUCGGGAAUUUCUCACCGAUCGGGCCAAAAAUCAAUUCCAAGAAAAACGAGGUAAACGAGCCACAACACAUCAUCCACAUGAUCAUAGGGGGCACCGAUGCCCCGCGGGAACCCAUAAUGAGAAGAACAAAAAUAUACAUCACCAAAGAAAAACGGACUCGGGGAUAUAUCCCCGAAGACGCCCUCACGUUCAACGAAGAGGACACUGAGGCCGUGUCUCAACCCUACAACGACGCCCUAGUAAUCUCCUUUCUUGUAAAUUCUUUUCAGAUAAAAUGUGUACUCGUGGAUCCAGGUAGCUCGGCCAACAUCAUCAGGUCGAGGGUGAUAGAACAGCUCGGGCUGCUAGAAUGAAUCGUGCCCGCCACUCAGGUCCUCAAUGGAUUCAACAUGGCGAGUGAAAUGACAAAAGGGGAAAUCGUCCUUCUAGUUACCAUUGCCGGCACAACCCAAGACACCAAAUUCCAUGUCAUCGAGGGAGAUAGAGGUAUAACGCCUUAUUUGGACGACCAUGGAUACACUGCAUGAGAGCAGUACCAUCAACCCUCCACCAGGUGAUAAAAUUCCCAACAAAGGACGGGAUCAAAACCGUCUAUGGGGAACAACACGUGGCAAGGGAAAUGUUCGCUAUACACGACUUAGUACCAACGCUCAUGCCUCCCCCCGAAUGAAACAAUGGGCAAACCAGGUUUCGCACCAAGUCGAACUUGACAAAACAAAGUAGAGAUCCACGCCGCAUCUACGCCCCCGGGCAGUUAUAGUAGACCAAUCCCAAGGCAUCGCCAGUAUAUCUCGUUUCAAGGUAUGCCCAUUCCUUUUUAUUUUAUCUCAAAUUCAGAAUUAACCUUCGUGCAUGCACCUAAUCAGAGCUGUCGGGACGUUAGUGCUAUUGCAAGACCUUGAGGCCCCAAAGGCGCACCCGUUACACUCGUUUCCUUUGACCGAGUUUUUAUCCCAGAAGAAGGGCUUUUAUCGGCAAGGUUUUUAAUGAGGCAACGUCUGCAAGCAGCUUCAGGGGGAACUCCGCAAAAAAUAUUCAAGAAUAUCCCUGCGGCCAACUUUUGAAUAGGCGAGGGGAAUUCCCCCCGGAAACUACCCAUAAAGCCCUUACAAGGCAACUCCGAGCUCACAAAAAGCGGUCUUCACGCUUAAACAAAUUCGAUGAUUUAGAGAAUGUCAUUCAUCGCCAAUCGCCAUGCGCUGGAACACCCGAAACUAUAAGACCCCUAGCGGGAAGACUCGGCGUAACCAGAUCUAUUCUACAUUACAAAACUGUAAGACCUCAACAGGCAUGACAAACUGUAAGACCUCAACAUGCAUGACAAACUGUAAGACCUCAACAGGCAUGAAAAUCCCGAAGUUCAUGCUAUACGUCGCAUUAGUAAGAGUCCAGUAAGGGCAUACCCUCCGAUGUAGAUGCCUGAACUAUCACUCGGGAUAAAAAAUGGCUCCGGCCAAACACAUAUAACUAUGGUCAAAACGGCUGACACAGCCAAACUAACGCAACUCGGGGACGCCCGACCAUUGCUAAGUAAAAAUUGCAGGCCACUACUUCGAAUAUACUUCGGAAAGAACCGGNNNNNNNNNNNNNNNNNNNNNNNNNNNNNNNNNNNNNNNNNNNNNNNNNNNNNNNNNNNNNNNNNNNNNNNNNNNNNNNNNNNNNNNNNNNNNNNNNNNNNNNNNNNNNNNNNNNNNNNNNNNNNNNNNNNNNNNNNNNNNNNNNNNNNNNNNNNNNNNNNNNNNNNNNNNNNNNNNNNNNNNNNNNNNNNNNNNNNNNNNNNNNNNNNNNNNNNNNNNNNNNNNNNNNNNNNNNNNNNNNNNNNNNNNNNNNNNNNNNNNNNNNNNNNNNNNNNNNNNNNNNNNNNNNNNNNNNNNNNNNNNNNNNNNNNNNNNNNNNNNNNNNNNNNNNNNNNNNNNNNNNNNNNNNNNNNNNNNNNNNNNNNNNNNNNNNNNNNNNNNNNNNNNNNNNNNNNNNNNNNNNNNNNNNNNNNNNNNNNNNNNNNNNNNNNNNNNNNNNNNNNNNNNNNNNNNNNNNNNNNNNNNNNNNNNNNNNNNNNNNNNNNNNNNNNNNNNNNNNNNNNNNNNNNNNNNNNNNNNNNNNNNNNNNNNNNNNNNNNNNNNNNNNNNNNNNNNNNNNNNNNNNNNNNNNNNNNNNNNNNNNNNNNNNNNNNNNNNNNNNNNNNNNNNNNNNNNNNNNNNNNNNNNNNNNNNNNNNNNNNNNNNNNNNNNNNNNNNNNNNNNNNNNNNNNNNNNNNNNNNNNNNNNNNNNNNNNNNNNNNNNNNNNNNNNNNNNNNACUUGAAAUCGAGGUUCUUCCAGAACCGACGACGGGUCAGGCAAAAAUCUUUCAAAAGACCUUAACGAGCGGAAAACAAAGCCUACAAAAAGUCCACGGGCAAAAACAGCGUAAGAUCCAUUUUCGCCAGCUAAGCAAGCCUCCGGGCCACAUAUUAAAAGGUCUCUAUGACCAAACAAUGUAAGAGCCAUUGUCGCCAGAUAAAUAUUUGACAACUUGAGGAUUAAAAUGAGCUCGAAUCGUAACCCGAUUCAGAGACCGAAUCUAAAAUAGUUAACUAUGCAAGCCUCCAGGCCACAUAUUGAAAGGUCUCAAUGACCAAAACAGCGUAAGAGGCACUAUCGGCGGUCUGAAAAUACUUAAGGGUCAAUUAAAGCUCGAAUCGCAAUGCGACUCAGAGACUGGACCCGAAAUAGUUAAACUGAAAACAUGACUAAGGGCAUGACAUAAAUGCCACUAUCGCCAGCCGAGUGAGCCUCCAGGCCACCCACCUGUAAGGCCACUUCGACCCAAAGCACAAAAGGCCAUCGCCGUCCGCCCAUGCAUGCAGGAUAAAACUUGAGGGUCAAUUAAAGCACGAAUUGCAACGGGACUCGGAGACUGAACCCAAAAUAGUCAAAACAACAAAUGCCCAAGGGCAAGAAAUGGGAACAGUUACUACCGCCCACACGGAUAUAGAUGAUUUAAGGGCAAGAAAGUUCGAGUCAGGGCCUGACUCGGAGACUAAGCCUAAACAGCUGGACAAAGCACGGAAGCCCCAACACCUGCUCAUGUCAAAGAUCACACUUAAGAGCCUCCGAGCCUGCCCAAUCAGUUCCGGACCUACGGGGAUCCGGCAAAGCACUAAAAUCGGCCCGCCUGGUCGAAAGAAAUAAUAGAAAGAGAUGCAGAAGAAAUAAAGAUUCAAAUUUCCUCUUAUCUUACAUACGCAAAAAGGUGCACUUUCCACCUACAGACAUGCUCUACAUAUAUCAAAUACAAAGCAGGAAAAUGGAAAAAUCUAUACUCCGCUCCAAAGGGAUACAGCUUGUCGGGUUUGCUCUUCGCGUCGUCAGCAAGAAAUGACCACGCGUCACACUCGUCCGCCCUUGCUCGAGCCAAUUCCCUUAAGAGAAUGAAGCCCCUCGCACCGAUCUCCUCGAGUACCUCUCUUCGGGAUCUGCAACGAACAUAUUCUUCGACCCUCUUUUCCCGAUCGAGUGCUCGCUUUAGUUCGACUUGAGCAUCUGCAAAGUCUUUCAUACGAAUCGCCAUCUCCUAAUUAGCCUUGGUUUGGCUUAGUGUCGUUUCAUCCUGGGCAUCAAUUAUCUUAGCCCUGAUCUUCGAGAGAUCAGAUUCAAGUUUCUCGAUCAUGUCCGCUUGAACUUUGGCAUUGUCACGAGCCAAGCGGAGUUGGGCUUCGAAGGCAGGGACCUUGGCCGAGGCACCUGUCUCCUCUAAAGCUUGAGCUUGCACCUGAGCCCUUAGCUCACCACAAGAAGCUCUGACGCGGUCGAUAUCGCCCUUGAGGUACUCCAAAGCCUCCAUCUUUUUCUGCAGCUAAUACAACAAAAAAGGGGUUAACCAUAAGGGACAAAGAGAGCAAAGCGCGAGCUGCAAAAAGUUACCUGCUCCAUCAAAUAGCUCUCGUAAUUCGAGCUCCAGUACGCCUCAUAUCGCCAAUGCUGCAACUCAACCUCUUUCUCCUCGCUAAUGAGCCUAAGGGACUCACCCUUGUCCAGAAUUUUCUGAAGCCUGGCCCCUUGACAGAGCAGCUCAGACAUAAGCCUAUCACAAGCCUGCACAAGAAAAUUUCAAUAGAGGGAGGAGGACGCGGAAUACAAGAAAAUUGUUCCUAGACUCACCACGAAGUGAAGCCGACGAACUUCCUCGAAGUCAUAAUAUACUCCUGUCGAUUCUGCCUCUUCGGCCCUAGAAGAACCGACCUUGGACAAAACAUAUUCACUGGAGGAGCCACCGGCCGGGAAUCAGAUACUCCAGGAGCAGCAGACUCGGAAAAUACCUUCUCCUUGAAAACACGAGCCCGUUCAGCACCACUAAAAGCUCCAUCACACUGCGGGUGCCAAUCCCAUUUAUCGCCAUCGUCCCUCGGCUCAUAGGCUGACGCCUCUUUAUCCCCUUUGGAAGAGCACUGUGUCAUCCCGAAGAACCACCCAAUACCUACAAACGGAAAAACCGAUACAAAAGAAAGGAGGGAAAUGUUACCUCAAAUAUACGAAGGCCAAGGCAAAGGCAGCGUGCGCGCAUACCUUGGUAUUUCAGUCCCCAUCUGGCAUAGAAUAUAGCUUGCCACCGACGCUCAUCGCAGGUCGAAUGGGUCACCAGCCUAUGGACCCAACCAGGCAGGUCAAGGACCUCGCCCAGCAUCCAUGAAGUUGCUGCAACAAGGGAGAAAACGCUAUUAUUCAACUAAUUUUUGCUAUAGGCAAAAUCUGAAAAGGCACCACGCUCCGCUCAUGUGCAUAAUUCCACCCUUCGAGAAAUGGCAAAAGCUCCACAGGGAUAAUGUCGACCAUCCAGACUCGGAUAAACCAACUGGCCCACUCUUGAUCUCCAUCCUCUUUGUCAUCAACUACAAAGGGUGUGGACAAAUGGCACCUCAGGGUCAGCAGGCCCUGGUGAUGAAAGGGCCAGUAUAGCCUGACGAGGUGGUUAAGCGUGAAUUCAAGCCCAGCCUUCCCCGCAAUGAACCUCAUCAUCAAAACCACUCGCCAAAACGACGGAUGUAUCAGCACCAAAGUAACCCGAUACUCCAAGCAAAAAUCAAGCACGACCCUAUCAAGGGGACUAAAUGCGAAAGGAUAGAGGUAUACGCUCAAGAAUCCAUCAGUAGAGUCCGUAACACUCUUAUCCGGGGGAAGCACCUGCAACGCUACCCCUUCUCUCCAUCCACAGUACCUACUCACCAUCUCCAGAUGUUCCCCUCUUAUCAAAGGAAUUGUCUUUAGAGCAAACUCCCGCUGUUCCUGAGCGCCGGGAGCAGUACUCUCCACUCCCUGCCGGGUCGGCCCCGAAGUGCUUGACAUUAUUAUUGUAAAACUAAUAUAUCAAAGCAAGGGUGCGCCAACACUUUUUGUGCCUGAAGAAAUGAAGAACCCUAUGCCAAAGUGGAAGGGCAGCUGCCUGAAAAUAGUGAGGUCUUGCGAAGAAGCCAAAGCCUCCCCACAUAUAUGCGAGAAGCGACGACGACUCGCCUACCCAGAGUGAGCCCUGGGAUGCCAACAGCCUUGAUACAAAUCGAUGGAGUGGGACCCGAUCUAGGAAGCAUCCUUCGAAGAGAAGCAAAGACUUGAGGAACCGUCCGAACUAUCCCCAAUCUCGAGGCAGCAUUCUACCUUGAGGAUCCCCGCCCAAAAAAAGUAGGAAUUCAGGAAGCUUUCAAUGCCAUCACUCGACGCGAGGUAGUACCCAAUCCCAUGGUUCCCUUUCUAAAAAGGGGAAUAAACAAUGAAGCUCCGAUCUCGAAAGCUCCACAAAGGUUUAAGGCAGCGCCCGAAUACAGGCAACUCCUCAGCAGAAGUUCAUCCUACACGUUUUAAGAAGGCUAUUUGUAUCAAGAUCAAAAAGGGACCCCCAGGUGCCCAAAGCUGACCUUCAUUUAGGAUAACAUCCUCAAAGGCCCCGAAAUUCAGCGUACUAUCUCCAUACAACUCGGAGGGCCCCGACAGCCCAGGCCUAUUAGAUCAAUUUAGGAUUGGUCUCAGGUAAGGCAAUGGCUUCGGAAGGGAGCCAUGUCGAUCGGCAGAGGAUCGAAAAAAAUGCUCACGCCCAAGUUAAAAUGUCGGCAGUCAACAAUAAAGGAGGGCAUUCAAAAGGCCUCGAAGGGCACGGGAGCAUGUAAUGACAAAGCAAAGAUCGAAAGCAGAAGUCAAUGGGGUAUAUUAAUAUUCAUAAAAAUCCAUGUACAACAGCCCUUGAAGGGUCAUUACAUACAAUUACAAAAGCCAACGAAGGUACUGGGAUAGGAAAAACAACGCCAAAACACCCCCAUUUAUAGGGGAUUACGACACGGUCGUCAUGGCCUUGAAAGAUUGACCAACGGACACAGUUAAUGCAUCAUUGGAAAACCGAAUCGACGGCAGUACCUUCACCUUGGAGAGCGGGAAUCGGGAGUGCAUUGAAUGAAGUCGAAAAUGCAUAAGCCCAUGGAUGCCCUGGGUUCCAGAAAGCUCGCGCCAGGAGUCGCAUCAUCGGAAUGACGUCGCCGUAAGGAGCUCGAGAAGUCAAGUGUCAAAAUCGCUUCCCAUCACUUCGCUCUGGGAAAUACAGAGACUAUCUGUACGCGGUGAAAUUAGAGAAUUUGAUUUCUCACUCUCAAGUUGUUUCGCAAGAAGUGCUUCGAAACCCCGAGGACAGGAAGCCACGGCCGAGUUCCCGACCCCGGGGCUCGUCAAGGCCCGACUCAGAGAAAGCAAAGAUCGAAUCCAGGACAGAGGGGGGAGCUCCCAAGACACACAACUAAGUCUGACAGGGUCGGCCUAUCCAAAGCCUAUGCUGAGGCGUCACUUCAAGCCAUCCCAUCUCCAUACUUGGUAAUUAAUCUCCACAUAUUUGUAGUCGAGUUCCCCUCCAAUAUAAAGGGGACUUACACUACCUUGUAACAGACUGAUGUUGCUCCAUUUCUCCACAAGUGCAAUAAUAUCUCUCUCUUUUCUUUCUAACUUAUUCGUUCUUACUGGCCCGAGGUUACCUUGAUAUCCAUCGUUUCCUUACUUGUUCUUCAUUGUAUAACUUAGUAUUGGCCAUUGUAGACAUGUGAUAUUUGGCCCUUCCCAAGAUUUUUCAUAUUUUUAGAACGUAAAUAUUUAAUUUAGGCCUAAUAUAGCUAUUUCAACUAAUGUUUACUCUUUUACUUUAUUACAGAAAACGAAAAUUACAAAAAAUAGUUUCAUUAAAUUUUGUAGUCAUUUUUAAUCUUGAAAAAUACCCAAAAAUAGUUUUGUUUUAACUGUUAGUAUUAUUUUAAUAGUUAUUUUGGUUAAAUAGGAUUAAUUAAUAAACAAGAUCGUAUUUUUAGUCUUGUUCACGGGGAAAGAAUAAAUUGAGGCUCAAGCGACCCAUUUUAGGCCUAGUUUUUUAACCUAACCCAUAAUUCCCAAGCCCAUAAUUUCUAGGCACAUAUCCCUUAACCUAGGAAACCCUACAAAUACCUAGACUCCUAGAGCUAAGAGAGAUGGAGCUGAAAAGAGAACAAAAAAGAUCAGACCUAGACUAAAAAAGCGGACGAGCUUCCAAAAAAGGAAAAGGAAACCACCGUCUCCAAUUCUCGAAAAACAGAGUACGAAACUAAGCAAAUACUUGUAGUUUCCUUGUAAAUCCAAACUUUCUCCAAUUGAUUCCGGGUAGCAUAACAAACUCUUUUCACUUUUCCAUUUAGAUAGUGAGAAUUCGUUCAAAGUCAUUAGUUCUUAUUCUUUCAAAGGCGCACCCUUUUUGAUUUGUAAAAAACAUCCAAAUUGAUCACAACCCCCUUUAAUUCUUUGAUUUUCUUAUGUUUUGGUAAUAUCAAAGUCUGAGUCUUGUCAUGGCCAAGAGUUCUUUCAAGCUUGAACACCCCAUGGUUUAACUAGAAUUUCGAGUUGGGUUCAAGAGGUUCGAGUUUAUCCGGCAAAGUUUUUUGUUAAAAAUUGUUCGCAUUAGAGAAAAACGGACAGAUCCGGGAAAGUUGUUGUCCGAGUCUCCAUUCAGUUAUGCGCCGAGGUACUGUCGUUGUUACCGUUGAGGUCUUGAGUAUCCGGUUCCAUCCGGGUUCAUCGACGAAAGCUCCGUUCAAGAGUCGUCGAGUUAUUUAACCUCUUGUAAUUCCAUUUUGGUUGAUUUAUCCCAAAGGUCCGUUCUCGCAUCUUCUCGACUGAUUAUUUUGUCCAUUUACAUUAUUAUUUGUUAAUGUAAUUGUUGUGUUACAUGAGGUAGUAGGUCAUUUUUUUGAUGAUUGGAUUGUUUGACUCUUGAGUGUUUCCAUGUUCAUAUCCUCACUGUACCUCUUGUUAAUUGUGCGAAUGGAUAAUUCUUUGUUCGUGUUGAAUUCACUUUAUUAGAGUUUUAGAUUUCAUAUAUAUUUUGUCCAUGUUCUUUAUCAUAAAUCAAAUCUAUGUAAGUAGAACUAAUUGGUGCAAUUUAGUUGCUGGGUCAUAUCAUCGUUGUUUUCUUAGCGUAGUUGAUUUUCUCCUAUCUGAUAACAAGUACAAAUAUUUAGACUAAGGAUUUUGUCUAUGGGGAAAGAAUUUGAAUUUAAAAAUAAUGUUUACUGCUUUGAGCCUUACUUCAAUGUUGGUCCGUAGUACAAAUAUAAGAACUGAGAAGCAAUUGGGCCAACAAAUUUAAUUCUAGUUAACUCAACAUCAAUAAUAUUUCAGCUAGUAUAUCUUUUUAAUUAAUAAAGAUUGUUCCAUAAUAGAUAAUUCCAAUAACUAAAUACUACCCUCUUUCUACAAUAACUUCUAUAACUCUUGGCCUCACAAUAAUCCCAAAUUAGUUUAGGAAAAUUAUGAAAACUGUAGUUUGCUUUAAGCACGUUAGUAAUAAUUGUGACUAUGUGUACGGUUCAUGUGACAUAGUCAUGAUACUUAACCCCAAAAUCUGAGUGCACACUGGCGUGACUCGAUCCCCCAACUCCGAAUAAUAAUAAAAUAAGCAUGUUGUAGAUCGUGGGUACGGUUCCCGUGACAGAAUUCGCAAUGUGUAUACAAACAAACGAGUGCGCGACAAUCACGCCUUAUUAAAACAAAUUCAUAAAUAAUUAAAAGCGGUUGUAAGUUAAAAAUGCACAAUAGGUUUUAAAUAUGCAAUAAGUCAGAUAAUUAAGCCAAUAAUAACAGUUGAGCGACCGUGCUAGAACCACGGAACUCGGGAAUGCCUAACACUUUCUCCCGGAUUAACAGAAUUCCUUACCCGGAUUUCUGUGUUCGUGGACUAUAGAACAUAGUUAAUCUUUCCUCGAUUGUCACUUAAAUUGGAAAAAACUCCCUUAUAUAUCCCUCUGCGGGGUAGUAUAAAGGAGGUGUGACAGCUUUGGCGACUCUGCUGGGGACAAAAACCCAGAAUCUCUGGUUCAGGGUUCAAGAAUUCUAGCUUGGAAUAAUUGUUAUAUUUGGCUUUAUUUAUUAUCUAAUUUUAUUACAUGUUUGGGCCUAAUGUGCUAAAUGCCGCUUUUUACCACUUUGAUAUUAUCUGAACUGUAUAUAAAUUGCUACGAAACCCUUCUUUUCUCAUCUUCGUGGAUGUGCACGCUGGCGUGACUCCUUUAUUUUAGUGUCAUACCUUAAAUUAGGAAGAGGAUCGAACAAGUUACAAAGCCGGAUGGCCUUUUAGUUCCCGGUAUGUAGCCCCCCUCGGCUCGAGUUGUCCGCUCGGGUACACAAGUCUAGAAUAACAUACUUAGGUUUUGAACUUAGAAUAACUCAGCCUCAUGCCGGAUCCCUAGUAGGAACAUUUGUUUGCAUCAUGUGCAUCUAACUUUGGGGACUCAACACAGGGGUUGGGUCCGUCUAGGACAGGUGUACCCCAAAAAUAAAAGACCAUCCUAAUGCAUCCUAAUGUGCUACAUGUUGCAAUCUUCAAGGGUAAAAGGGUCAUUUGGCGGACCAAUAAUAGUUGAGGGCAAAUGAACAAAAAGAAAAAGAAAAAAGAGAGAGUGAAGUGUGAAAAUAAAACAAGUAGGGCCCAGUUAUGUUUUCUGUCACAUUUUUUUGUUAAGAAUCAUUUUGCGAAAAUCAAAAAUCGAAAAAAGAGGAAAAAGAAAAUACAAAAAGAGUUUACAUGUUUCAUCAUUUUUCAAAACAAAAGACAAAUAAUAUGUUUUCUCUAAAUUAGUUAUUUUUUUUAAAAUUCUCGCCCGUAUCCAAUCUGCCCGAACUACGCGAACCUGAUUCUCGUCUAUCGGGGCGAGAUAUGUAGGCAACCCAUAUAGGGUCCGGUCUUCCUAGUGAGUUUAGGUUCUUGGCUUCGUGGGGUCUCAGCCAAAUCUUGCAUUUUUAGCCACAUAGGUUAAUUUUAGAAAAAUAGUCGCAACCAUGUCUUGCAUGUGUCUAGUAGGGAAUGUUAUUGUCUAACAUAGUGUUGGUUUAAGUUUUCUUAUAUAGGUGUGGAUCUACUUACCGGAGUUUGAGCAUGACAGAUACCCCGGGACCACUGCAUUCAGGAGCUGCCCGAGGAGCCUUUUUAUGUUUUUAAGUCUAUUAUUCAUGUUUUACUUUCUAGUCCUGUAUAGUAGUCUUUUAGGUGAUGUUAGAGUUUGUAAUAGUCUAGUUACGUUUGUCGAGUCUUUUGUUAUUGUAUUUCUUAUUUUGUAUUUGGAAAUGUGUUACAAGUCAAUAAU